GACAAAAAACGGGGGUCCUUGGAACGGGUCGCCAUGCUUGUGAGUGCGUAUUCAUCCCCAUGGAACGGGCAUACGUGCAUGCAGCUAUAGCCCGGCGGCAAGGGCGCCGGGUGCGCUAGCGCAGAGGCGAUGGUCGGACAGUGCUUUGCGGCCGCUUUUCCGAAAUUGCGGCUCAUUGUAGCAGAUCAAUACGGCCGGAACGGCGUAACGGAAAAUAUGCGAAGCUUUGGAGCGGAUUUCUUUCUUCUUUUUCCUCGAUAAGAAGAAAAUGCUAUGCUUUGGAGCGGCUUUUUUUGUCAGUUGGUAUAGACUUUGAUCGGGGUAUAGAACUGCUCUGAGGUAAACCAGUUCUGUGAAAGAGUGCCGAAAUGAAACGUUUAUUAAAAUGAAAGUGCCCCAUAGUUAUCCUGCUGGAAGUAAUACGGGAUGUAUGCAUCACUUACACACUGCUUAGAAAGAAAUAUAAAAAAAGUCUAACGACAAAGAAUCAUUCGGCAAUAAAGUUUAUUCAACCCGUCUUCGGAAAAUCACAAGGCCUGUGAUGUUUAAUAUGAGUUCAAUAUGGCGCACUGACUGAGUGAUGUCGUCAUAUAAGAUUACGCUCAACAUUUGGGUGCUUGCCGAUUAUUCAUGUUAUUUGAAAUAGUUUUGAAUCAACGUAUGAUUUAUCAUAGCGCAGAGAGUGUGAAUUUCUAAUCUUUCGGUUUUUUUAGGACUAUAUAUACGUCAGUGGAGAAAAUUCCAGCACCUUACAUGCAUUCGUGAAGGAUACCGGCCAGUUUCUUUUCACUCUUAAUCUGCCUUACAGACCGUAUGGCAUUGUCACCUACGCACCAGAUACACAGCCACCAGCAGUGUCUCACUGUAGCAGUAACCCAUGUAGCUACCUUUGCGUCGGUGGUGGAGCCGAUGGUUUUACGUGUCUGUGUGGAACUGGAAGACUAUUGGCCCCAGAUGGAAGAACAUGUCGAGAAGAACGAGCCAUCAGUCCACCCCAACUAUUUGUUGCCUCUCGGACAAAGCUUUCCAGAUAUCCAAGUAAUUUUCCCGACUUUCCCAUCACUGAUAACUACAAUAUAACCAACAUGUUAACUAACCGCAAUCAUGCCGUUGCUCUCGCCGUCGAUCUGGAAGAUGGUUUGGUGUUCUAUAGUGAUGUCGCAACUAAAGCGAUAGCGAUGGCGAGCUUGAGGUUUGGCUCGACUGUCCGCUACAUUACGGGAGCAACCAGCUCAGUCGAAGGAAUGGCUGUUGACUGGUUGACAAAACACCUGUACUGGACGGAUAAUCAUAGGGGAACUAUUGAAGUAUCUCGCUACGACGGAUCGUAUAGAACAACUCUUCUUAAAGAUAAGAUUCUCAGACCAAGAAGCAUUGUCAUCGAUCCUGCCGAAAAAGUAAUGUUUUGGACAGAAUUCGGACCGCCUUGUCAGAUUGAACGAGCCUCUUUAGACGGUACACAAAGGAUUGAAAUCAUAAGCCACUCUCAAUGCGCACUUCACAUGAGUGGCCUUGUAAUUGAUUAUGAAGAACAAAGACUAUACGUUGGUGUUGUCAAUCGAGGAGCUAUCAUCAGUGUUAAUUACGACGGUGGAGAAAUGAAACACGUUCUUACCAAGACAAACUCGUUAUUUUUCGAUCUUACCAUUUACAAGGAUUACAUUAUGUGGACCGAGCUUAAACAAAACCAGGGUAUAUACGUAAGCAACAAGGAGACUGGAAAAGCAGUCAGGGAAUUACCAAUGAGAGAGGCAGUGUAUGGAAUUACAAUGUACGCCGACACCAGGCAACAUAUAAUACACAAUCCAUGUAGAUCUCAUAACGGUGGAUGUCAACAGUUAUGCCUAAAUUCCUACAAUCAUUCGAACGGAUACGUUUGCCGUUGCACCAUGGGAUACAAUCUAGCUGAAAACGGUAGAGACUGUCAGUCAAAUUUGGUGGAUCAUGACUUCCUCCUGGUAACGGAUACGUAUCAUCGUGGUAUAUAUCAGGUGAACAUCAACUCCAAUUUCAAACCUGAGGCACUGCGAUUGAAUGGGCUAAAAAACCCUAUUGGAGUUGGUUUCGACCAGGCUGAAAAUAUGGUGUAUUGGACAGACGUCAAAAAACGAGAGGUCAACCGCGCUACCGUCGAUGGAAGCUGGCAAGAAACUAUAGCAAUAGAAAAUAUUGGACAACCAGACGGCAUUGCUGUGGACUCUAUCUCAAAGUUGGUUUAUUGGACGGAUCUUGCUAUGCGUUCUAUAUCUGUAUCAACGCUAGAUGGAUUAGACCGUAAAACGCUUGUUAAAAAUCUUGUUAAACCGAGAGCUAUAGUUCUUCAUCCAGUUGAAGGUAUAAUGUUUUGGAGCGACUGGCGGAGUAGUGCGGUGAUUGAACGAUCUUACAUGGAUGGAAACAUGCGUAGAGUUAUUAUAGACACAGGUUUGAGAUGGACUAACGGGUUAACUUUAGACUUUCAAGAUAAUCGUCUAUACUGGUGCGAUGGUGGCCUGGAUUUAAUAGAGUCUAGUGAUUUCUCUGGUCAUGACCGUCGAGUUGUCCUCAACCUUGGUGAAGGAUUCCAUGCCUUUGGGAUAUCAGUUAUUAAUCAGUCGGUCUAUUGGAGUGAUUGGAGAGUUCGAGACAUGUUAAAAGCAGAUAAACUGACUGGAUUGAAUAAACAAGUGCUUGGUAACAAUAGCUUUGCCCGGCCCAACGCCAUCUUCGCAGUCACCAAUAAUUCUCUUCCUACAGGUAUCAAUUCAUGUUCAGAUGACAAUGGAGGUUGUUCAACUCUCUGCUUACCUACGGCCAUUGGUAGAACAUGCGCAUGCUCAGAUGAUGUAGAUUUGGCAAGGGAUGGUGUCACAUGCGUAUCAGAACUGAACAUUGAAUGCCCAUUGGACUUCAUGUACGGAGGUGUAGAAGAGUCGUGUGACAGAUCCCCCGGAAGUAAUUGUUCAGUAAUAUGUUACUCGGAUCUUGUUCCUGCUGUAGACUUCAUCAUUUGCCAGAGCAGCGGCAGCUGGGACAUAGAAAAAAGUGACAUUUGUCGAGAGGAACAUUGCUCGGAAUUAGAUGUACCAGACCACGCGAUAUUCUCAGGUCCUUGUUAUCCACCAUACGAUCAGGGUAAGCUCUGUAUUGUAGAGUGUGAACCUGGUUACAUGAGAACGAGCGGUAAACCAAGAAGAGUUUGUUCACAUGGUGGAGAAUGGCUAGGGACACCUAUUGUCUGUCAAGAGAUAGUUGAGGAAUCACCGGAAGGUGAAUGUAACAGUGACCUGGUAUUCCAUGGGACACCUGAAGACAUAUCUCCUGUACACAACGAUCUGGUACAACAAUCAUGUACUACCAAUUACCCACUGGCAGACAUCACGUGGUACAAAGAUGGCGUGCGACUCAUGACAGGUUCUGUUAAUGGGAUAUAUAUACUACCUUCAAAUGAUCUUCUUAUUCCUGGUUUUGACACACAUCAUCAGGGUCAAUAUUCAUGUGUGGCUUCUUUCUCAGGUCGAGAAUGCCUUAGAGUCGAUGUUCAGUUUGCAUUCGAUCCAUACCGCCAUUUUGAAGCUGUUCCUAUCAACGCAUCGUUGGAAGUUGGCGAUCAUUAUUUGUUUGAAUGCCAAGCAAAGUCAGCUCUUGAUUCAAUUGAAUGGUGGAAGGAUGGAACAAGAGUCUCUCAAACAGAACAAAUCAUUUUGAUUUCAGGAGGGAGUCUUUUGAUAAGGAAUAUUGUUAGUCAAGAUUCAGGAAAAUACACAUGUAUGGUAUCGGAUCAACGAGGCAAUAUGAGAGGAGAAGCCCAUGCAUGGCUUACUGUAGCAGAUAUGCACCUGCCUAACAUCAAUAUUACACAAGUCUGCGGGACGAUCACAGCCCCUGAAGCCAUUAUUUCAACCACUGUAGCCCCGAGGGAAGGAAGAGUGGUAGGCGGGCACCAGUCACUCCCUGGCUCUGCUCCUUACAUGGGUCGCAUUUGGCACAAAGCGGAACGAAGUUUCGUUUGUGGAGCCACACUUUUAAACCAGCGAUGGGUCUUGACUGCAGCACAUUGCAUCGUCUUAUACAGGCUUGACUUCCGGGAUAUUCUUCUCUACUUCGGCGACCACGAUACCAUGACAACGGAAGACCAUCAGGUUAUUGCUGAAGUAGACCAGAUCAUUCAACAUGAAGACUUCGAUCAAGAUAACUUUAACAAGGACAUCGCUCUUAUCCGUCUGAAGCAACCCUUUGAGGAAUUUACCAACUACAUUCGUCCGAUAUGUCUUCCACCUGUCUGGCUGGCUAAGUCACUCUUGCAGACUGAUAGGAUGGGUAGGGUGACUGGUUGGGGUCAAAUAGCUGAAGGUGGACCAUACCCCAGGUACCUUACUGAGGUUGAACUACCAGUCGUUAGGAUCAAGAGGUGUAAAGAUGCCACCGAGUUUGAGGUGACCAAGUUUAUGUUCUGUGCUGGGUAUUCCGCUGCUGAAGAUAAGAAAGAUGCAUGUCAAGGAGAUAGUGGUGGACCAUUUGCUAUGCAACAUGAAAACAGAUGGUAUCAGCUAGGUAUAGUCAGCUGGGGAGAAGGAUGUGCAAGGGAUGGCAAGUACGGCUAUUAUACCAAGAUCUUACGACUUUUGUCAUGGAUCGAGAGAAACACUUCAUAGUAGUCUUUUCACAAUCAAAUCUUGCCAAUUUAUAAUAUAACUUUGAUAUCAGAUGUUCAUACGAAAUUAAUGUGAGAGAUAGAUUCUGCAUUAUUGUUACUUACAAAGUAGUGUGGACUUUCUCAGAAAUCGAACAGAUAUGAGAUUACUCCACAGGAGUGGAGAAGCUGUUUAAGUCUAACUAGGGAGAAGGGGUAUUUUUCUUGUCUAAUAUCAUUAAAAUUAGCAUAUCUUUUAUCACUGAAGUUUUAUAAUAUGUUCUGACCGAUUUGUCUACAUUGAUAUAUUAUUAUUAUAAGAAAUUAAUCGAAAGGAAUUUUGAACCAAUUAUUUAAAGAUACGGCGGGGAAGGUUGUUCCGAUAGAAUGAUAUAUUUUUGAAGAGGAUUAUUAUCAUCGAAUUCCGAGUACUUCGAAUUCGAUUAGAAAUAAAGCUCACGCAGUUUAGCUGAAUGAGACUCACUCAGUUAUUUGUAUACAGGAAAAACAUGAUAAAGUGCAUGAUUAAACUGACGAUAUCAUUUGCAUUCAUCUAAAGAAUAUAAAUGAUUCUUUUUUUAUUUGAGCUCGGGGCAUGAUCAUAGGAAUUUCCAUUUACUUGCACGAUAUAUGGUAAUGCGUAGAAAAGGAAUUGUUAAUAAUGAUUUUCCACAGCAUAAAAAAAAUAGAUUCUUUAAAAAUCGUGCUCAAUAAGCUCCACAUUUAUGAAACUAUUUAAAUGUAUAAGUCUCUUUUGUAGUCAUGUUAGUUACAGUAAAAGAAAACAAAACUUAGGGAAUAUCAAUUAAAUCAAAAGAAAGGAUAAAGGUAUCAAUUAAAAAAAGUUAAAUCGGUUACGAAUUGAAAAGGCUUGGAAAAAAAAUAAUUUCGCCCCCCGCCCCCCCCCCCCCAUUUUAUUUCACUUAGGAAACAAAGGAUAUCCUGAGUUUUUCAUGGUGUAUAUACAUGAUAGAGGGGCAGACCCAUGGACACAAUGAUUUAAAAACAGAACUUCACGUUCACUUAUAAGCAAACGGUGCAAGCUUUGUGAGCAAAUACGAGCUGCUUUGUUCUGCAAUUUCUGUAAACGUACAAGUUGCGAUUGGAAUAAAAACAGUUCUUUCUAACCAAUACAAUACAUUGUAUGGACUCAGAACUUGUUUAUAAAUAUUGUGGAAAACAUAGAGUUAAUUUAAAAAGAAAGUUUUGAAAUAAACCAAUGACACAAUAUACCUUUAAACGGUAGGGCAUAACCGAAAUAGAGUCUGGACGAAAUCAAGGCAUGUACAGAUAGGCAAUGUUGCUUCAAAAUGGCAGGUUUAGUACAUAAAAUGUAUUGUUCCCAAACUUUUAUAUUUAUGUGUUAUGUAAAUCACUUUUACCAUGAUACAUCUUCAGUCCAUGUAAACACGUUAGGCAUUUGGAAAAAAUUGGGGGAAUAUUGCUGCAAAGUUAUCACUUUGGAACAACAAUGCAAAUUUGAGGUUGCCCAAAAAUAAGCUGGGAUAGUCAAAUUUCAUAACUUUUAAUUUCGUAAUUGAUUUUGAUGAAACUUUUUACAAAUUUCUUCUGUCUACCCUUUCGUUAAAAUGUAUUUUUACUAGGUUGUAUUAUCCUUUAUUAUCAUUGUUUAUAAUUGUAUUAUUAUCAUCAUCAUUAUUAGGUCUACCAUUGAUUUUAUGAUUUUCUUCCAAAAUUAUGUAAAUGUUGUUUCUUAUACAAAUGUUUGUUGUUGUUGUCUUCAUUUUAUUUUUUUAAGAUACCGCAUUACGCAUAUUAAUCUUAACAUCUCAUUGAAUAUCCUCGAUUAUGCCUUAGUUCAUUUUAUUUAUCAUCAACAGCCAAGUUGACGUAAUAAAGCAUUAUAUUCCAAGUGUGGUCAAUCGAUCAAAACUA